rnacentral:lncRNA from 1 species
UUGAGUGUGUGUCUGGAUCGAAUAGAAUACAGGGGGCGACCAAGAACCUCCAUCAAACCCUAAAUCACACAAAACUCACAAAUUGGAGGCACAAAUCAGUUCCAAAACGAAAUUCGAGCUUAGAUUGGUGAUCUCCACUGUAAGGGGGUCAUAAGUGUAAUCUGAUUUUUAUGAAGCAAGGAAACCGGGACGUCAAGCGGACAAGCCGGUGGUGAUACGCGCUUGAAGGGAGUGCUUUGAAGGUGAUGCUCGUUUGUUGUAGAUGUUGAUCAAGCAAGGGAAUCAAGAACCGAACACAAGUUUUGAAUGCUUCCGCGCUAAUCUAAUCUAGUUUAAAACAUGUUGUUUUGUAAACUCUUUUGAAUGUUGAACAUUUUAGUUAUUAACUAAGUUUUUGUUGGUCAUGUAUUUCGAAUUUAAAAAGUUCGUAUUUUAUGGUUAUAAAAUGAAAUUAUAAGACGAGUGUUACACGAACGUUCAGCGAACAGUUCGUGAACCGUUCGGCGGGAAGUUCGUUUAUGUUCGUUCGUUUAAUAAACGAACGAACAUUAACAAGAAAUUUUGUUCGACUAGUUAAAUGAACGAACAUGAACAGAGGUCUCGUUCGUUAGAUUGUGUUCGUGAACGUUCGGUAAGGUGUUCGUGAACGUGUUUGUUA